GGCGUCCUUCACGGGCGCGGCACAACGCAUCGCGGUCCGCACCGUCAGUUCAAUGCGCUUCACGCUCGGUGCUUCAGACUGCCAGCAGGCGAGGACCCGGUCGGCAUAGUGAGCCUGAAUCCAGCUCUUGAGGAACUUGGUCGGAACCGUCAUGUGAACGCAGUCGUCAUGGAUGCGCUCGAGGUCCAUGCGGGCAAACCAGCUCGUGUAGAAAUCCUCGCCGACAUUCGUGCGCAGCCGUCCUUU
rnacentral:misc_RNA from 1 species